GGACGAUAAUGACGGUACUUUAGGAGGAAGCUCCGGCUAACUACGUGCCAGCAGCCGCGGUAAUACGUGGGGAGCGAGCGUUGUCCGGAAUUACUGGGUGUAAAGGGAGCGUAGGCGGGAUUGCAAGUCAGAUGUGAAAGGCGGGAGCUCAACUCCCGAGCUGCAUUUGAAACUGUAGUUCUUGAGUGAAGUAGAGGUAAGCGGAAUUCCUGGUGUAGCGGUGAAAUGCGUAGAUAUCAGGAGGAACACCGGUGGCGAAGGCGGCUUACUGGGCUUUUACUGACGCUGAGGCUCGAAAGCGUGGGGAGCAAACAGGAUUAGAUACCCAGGUAGUCCACGCUGUAAACGAUGAUUACUAGGUGUGGGGGGACUGACCCCUUCCGUGCCGCAGUUAACGCAAUAAGUAAUCCACCUGGGGAGUACGGCCGCAAGGUUGAAACUCAAAGGAAUUGACGGGGGCCCGCACAAGCAGUGGAGUAUGUGGUUUAAUUCGAAGCAACGCGAAGAACCUUACCAGGUCUUGACAUCGUAUGCAUACCAUAGAGAUAUGGGAAAUCCCUUCGGGGACAUAUAGACAGGUGGUGCAUGGUUGUCGUCAGCUCGUGUCGUGAGAUGUUGGGUUAAGUCCCGCAACGAGCGCAACCCUUACCUUUAGUUGCUACGCAAGAGCACUCUAAAGGGACUGCCGUUGACAAAACGGAGGAAGGUGGGGAUGACGUCAAAUCAUCAUGCCCCUUAUGACCUGUGCUACACACGUACUACAAUGGCAAUCAACAAAUAGAAGCAAGACAGUGAUGUGGAGCGAAUCUCAAAAAAUUGUCCCAGUUCAAUUGC
rnacentral:rRNA from 1 species